rnacentral:rRNA from 1 species
CAAAGAGAAGCAAAGCCGCGAGGUAGAGCAAAUCUCAAAAAAACAUCUCAGUUCAGACUGCAGGCUGCAACUCGCCUGCACGAAGUCGGAAUUGCUAGUAAUCGUAGGUCAGCACACUACGGUGAAUACGUUCCCGGGCCUUGUACACACCGCCCGUCAAACCAUGAGAGUUGGCAACACCCGAAGUCGGUAGUCUAACCGCAAGGAGGACGCCGCCGAAGGUGGGGUUGAUGAUUAGGGUUAAGUCGUAACAAGGUAUC